GCGCUGCCUUUGAGCCCCCGCUGCACCUGCGCGAGGCACCAGGGGGUCAGGCUGCAGCACCAGCGCUUGCGCAUAAAUGGGGCCGCCUGGUUCCCCUGCCCGCGGCCCUUUUAACCUCGAGUGACAGCU